rnacentral:lncRNA from 1 species
AGGGUAGAGCAUCAGGGAAUUUAAAGGUAUCAUUAUUGCAUGAAAACUGCUGAAUCAGGAACCUGAGUGGUAAACAACUGACUGAACCGCCUUAGCGCAUCUGAGAUAAGGGAGCACAUUGUUUAUUGUGCCUGAAACUUGUUUCCAAUACAAGGAUUGUGGCUCCUUCCUCAAGGAGGAACAAUAGUAGCGUGUAACCUUGAACGUACGUCCGGCUCUGCUGCUUGCUUUACAUUUGUAAUUGUGGCCUUAGACAAGGCCGAAUCUCUGUGACUUCAGCAAAAAGAUAAAAGAUUCUGAUCAUGGCUGAACCGUCUUUGUUUCCGUAUGUUUGCGUGUGAAUGAGGCCAACAUUAACUCAGAGUUGGCAUUUAAUGAAUACUCAUUGAAGGAAUGGUUGAGUAAUGAAACACAGACUCCAGUGCUGGAGAUCAAGCCUACAAAGGCACUUCCCCAGGAGAGGCACAGAAGCAAAGGCCCCGGGCUCUGGGUUUGUGGCGGCAGCUGCGGCUCCCGGCUCCUGUUAUCAUCACUGCUUGAUGGUGAGUAGAUCGGGAUCUACGUCACACGGCCAAAUUCACGUGUGGAGAAAUGAUGGCUCGAAGCAGCCAAGGCACACACGGGUGUAGCACCCAAAGGUCCCGGCUCAGAGGACCAGGAGGCAGCAGGGGCCAGGUUGAGCAGCUCCCGUCUGCAAUAAGAGGCUGAGGUACUACUACCGGUGUGUGUGGAGUGUGAGCACAGGCACAAGGCUUUGGUCUCCCAGACAUUUUCAUAUACAAAGGAGGUCCCGGGACCCUUUAAAAUAUCCACAGAAGGAUUGUUGCUGCUGUUUGCUGGGAGUGGACAGGGACGUGGAAUCCACAACCCCAGUGCCGAGGACAUUUCUGUUAAGCAAGUUAUAUAACCCUGUCUAUGCUUGAGGCUCAUAUUUGUGGAGACAUUGAAAUGAAGGCUGUGGGGGGGCCUCUCUCAGAGCAAGUCCUCAUGUUGGGAACAGGGCAAAUGCCUCAUUGGCCUAAAGUCCGAGAUCGG